GCCUGUGAUGGAAAGAGGCUGAAGAUGGAUAUUGAUUAUACGUGUGCUCAGAAAGAAAGAUGCUCUCCAUCAAAACAGGAUCGACCCGAUGUCAGCUGGAUAUAGAGAUGUUUCAAACAAAGCGUCACAUCUUGAGUCUGAGACAUGGCAGCAGAACAGAGAACUGAACUGUAACGGCAUCAUAGAACCACAAAUGGAGAACAUCCGUGGAACACACUCAACCCUCCACACGAAUACAGCAAGCCUGCUGAAGGUCAAGAUCACAGUACAGAGCAUCUUCAUAUGUCCCAAAGGAGCCACAUGGGACACCCGUCAGUAGCAGCAGGACUGACUUUGCAUUAAUAUUCAGCUGAAAGCUCAUAGAUUUGGUGAACAAAGACCCGGCCUUGAGUUUCAUCCAGCAUCCCUCGGCGGUAUUGAUGAGUGCAUGUGGAGUUUCGGCGCAUGCGGUUUCUCACAGUGUGUGUUGAACAGACAAGCUCUUCCUUUCAAAUUACAAUCACAGACACAACGUUGACACCUGCACAGCAUCCAUUUGACGUUGAAGCUUCAUCAGGCUUCUUAAUGGAACAUUUUCCAACUUUUGUUUCCACUGCUGCAUGAAUACUAAAACAAACACCUAGAAGUAGUUAUUUUUGGCUGGUUGCCUUAAUCUUUGGGUGGUGUAAAUUCAAAGUAAUAACAUCUACAUGACUGAUGUGUUGUAUAAAAGCGCUCUGUGUCCGGAAUGAUAUAAGAUAUAGGUGAGGGGUGACGAUUGCUAUCAUGCUCAUAAAUCCUCACGCCGCUUUUGCUCAAUUUGUCCCCACAGUUCGGCAUCUGUAGCACUGUAGGCUUUGAUGUAUUUAGAUGUAUUAAUUUAUUCCCCAUGUUCCUGCCAGUCCUACAUAAUGGGGUCCUGUUCUCGUUUAAUGGGCCUUACAAAAUUCAUAAGGUAAUUACUGUGAGUGAUUGGAUUAGGUUAAAGCACAAAUGUGACUUUGUACUAGCGAAAGCUAGUCUAAGGAAAACCGUCUGGCUUUUUUGGGGUCAGAUUUAUGGGGAAUGAUUUACAUAAAAUAAUCACAGGUUGUCUGCAAAAACAGUUCAAUUUAUUUAAUAGAGACGAAUGCACACUUCACACUUCAUUGGUUUUGUAUCAUAUUUGAAACAGCUUUCAGGGGGGUAAAAUGGCAAUGAAAGGAAGGAUUUAUCCUGUUUGUCUGAGAGAUUUGAUUCUGGUGGCACAAAGACUACAGCCUUUGAUCCAAUUACAGUGUAUGUAUGUCCCAGGUCACUUCCUGUCCCGCGUUCUUAGCCUGAGGUGGCGGCCUGCAAUCACGACUCUGUCGAAUUAUUGAGUUUGUGCCCCUAAGCCACUCUUUCUUUCCACAUCCGUGAGCGUGUGUGUAUAUGUGUGCUUGUGUAACCGUUCGGCCAGGGCUAAUGUUUCAGAGGGUCACCAGCUGUGUUUCAAACAUCUGUUCCUCAUAGAACGGCCAUGGAUCCCAUUUCCUCGAUCCCUGUCGUGUUUAGAAAGAGAGAUUAAGCUUUGUGCCGUCUACUGAGGGUCUCCUCUUCUCUUUGACUCAUCUUCACCGCCUGCUUAGCUGCAAAUCAAACGAAACUGUCUGAGCCAUUGGCUGACGUUGAUGGACAUGGGUUGGAGAGGUGCAGUGUUUUUCAUUAGACACGCAACUGUAAACCUCCUCCUGUGGAAAGAGUCUAUCCGUCAGAGCUGUGAGCGCAACCAAUUUAUUCUGAUGAAUACACAAUGUCUGCUUCUUUCUUUAAUUGGAUUUCAGAUAUGAGAAUGCAUCACUUCUAGAAAUGGUGGGAAUUUUAUAGCAUUUUUAUUUGGUAAAAGCAAAUCCUGUCUUAAAAUUGCACACGUUUGAGUCCGAAAUAUAAAUUAGCUUUGGAAUCUGCCAGAACAAUUAUGUUCUCGAUAUGUAAAUUCUUGAUCCAUUUCACAGAUGCAUUUUUUAAGCAAAUCUGUCUGCUUUGAGUUCUCCACGCGUCUGACUAAUGAGCUAGUUGAGAAAUGUGACUUCAAGCUCUUAUACAAGCAGCUGUGGAGUCUAUUACCAGAAAUAAUGUUUAAACAUAUGUUUUACACAUCCGUCUUUUAGAAAACCUGUAGAUCAUUCUUUAUUUGAGUCAGUGUAUACUUUCCUACAUCUUGGUGAAAUGUCAAUUUUUUACUUACACUGUCAUUCAAAAGAUUGGGAUUUUUACUUCUUUUAAAGAAGUUUCUUACGCUCGUCAAGGCUGCAUUUAUUUGAUCAG